CUUGAACAUUCGAAUUCGACGGAAGGUUUAAAAUAAUCGGCGCGCGAAAAAGAAUCAUGUCCGCGACAUUAAGGAAGAUCGUAACUAUCGUCACGAUAGCGUUGUUGUGCUAUGCACGCACGAAGUAUGAUUUCGAUUACGAUCCCAUUAAAGUGUAAGAUUUCAGUUAAAUUUUCUUGGAUUUCGAUCGAAACCUAAAGAAGAAUCUAUGGCGAUAUAUACACCAGAGUUUCGUGCAUACAAGUGCACACAAGUGCACACAAAUGGCGCAUCUUCAAUUAAGCAAAAGAUUUGGGAGUUUGGAAAAGUUUUUAAACAACAAUGAACUGCAAACACGUGAACAUAUGUAACAAACAAUUCUAACAAAUGUAAUCGACUAUUAUUUUUGUUCUACGUUCAACAAAUAAAAAUAUAUGAAAUACUAUUAUUGUUUAAGAUCGACGUACUCGAUCACAUCAAUAAAUAUUUUUAUUGCUUGUUGGAUAUAUUUGAAAUAAGA